rnacentral:rRNA from 1 species
GACGAACGCUGGCGGCGUGCUUAACACAUGCAAGUCGAACGGAAAGGCCCUGCUUUUGUGGGGUGCUCGAGUGGCGAACGGGUGAGUAACACGUGAGUAACCUGCCCUUGACUUUGGGAUAACUUCAGGAAACUGGGGCUAAUACCGGAUAGGAGCUCCUGCUGCAUGGUGGGGGUUGGAAAGUUUCGGCGGUUGGGGAUGGACUCGCGGCUUAUCAGCUUGUUGGUUGGGUAGUGGCUUACCAAGGCUUUGACGGGUAGCCGGCCUGAGAGGGUGACCGGCCACAUUGGGACUGAGCUACGGCCCAGCCUCGUACGGGAGGCAGCAGUGGGGAAUAGUGCACAAUGGGCGGAAGCCUGAUGCAGCAACGCCGCGUGCGGGAUGACGGCCUUCGGGUUGUAAACCGAUUUCGCCUGUGACGAAGCGUGAGUGACGGUAAUGGGUGAAGAAGCACCGGCUAACUACGUG